rnacentral:rRNA from 1 species
AAUAUAAAUUAUUUAUUAAUAUUUUUAUUUAUAUUUUUAUUGUUAUUAAAAAUAAUUAUAAAAGUAAAUGUUUUAGUAUAAUAUAUAGAAUAAAUAAUUUUUAUAAUAGUGAAUUAGUAUUGUAAAGAAAAAUUGAAAUAAUUUGAAAAAUUAAUAUUUUAAAAGAAAAUUUAAUUUAUUGUACCUUGUGUAUCAGGGUUUAUUAAUUAAAAAAUAAUAAUAAUUAUUUUUCUCGGUUUUAAAAGAGUUAAUAAAUUAUAUUAGUUUAUGUAGAAAAAUAAUUAAUAAUAAUUUAUUGGAAAUGAAAAGUUAAUCGUUUUUAAAGGUAUCUAGUUUUUUAAGAAAUGAAUUUAAUUCAGUUAUUUUUAAUAUAUUAAUUUAAUUGAUUAAUAUAAUAUUUAAAAAUAAUUAUAUUUUAUGGGAUAAGCUGUAAAAUAAAUAAUUAAAAAUUAAUUAAUUUAUUAAUAAAUAUAUGCUUAUAAAUAGUAAUUAUUAUUAAAUAUGUUAUAAUUUAUUUUAUAAAAUUAAUUAUUUAAUUUAAUUUUAAUUAUUUAUUAAAAUAUUUAUUUUAAUAAUAAUAAUAAAUUAAUAAUGAUAAAAUUAGUAUAUAUUAUAUUAUAUAAUUUGUAAAAAUAUAAUAAAUUGUAAAUUUUAUAUAAAUAAUUCGGCAAAUAUAGUAUUCGCCUGUUUAUCAAAAACAUGUCUUUUUGUAAUUUAUUUAAAGUCUAAUCUGCCCACUGAUAAUUUUGAAGGGCCGCGGUAUUUUAACCGUGCAAAGGUAGCAUAAUCAUUAGUUUUUUAAUUGAAGGCUUGAAUGAAUGAUUGGACGAGAUAUAAGCUGUUUCAUAUAAAAUUAAGUAGAAUUUUAUUUUUUAGUUAAAAAGCUAAAAUUUAUAUAAAAGACGAGAAGACCCUAUAGAUCUUAAUAAUUUAUAUAUUUUAUUUAUAUAGAAAAUUUAAAAUAUUAUAAUUAUAAUUAUUUUAUUGGGGUGAUAAUAAAAUUUAUAAAACUUUUAUAUUUAUUUUACAUAAAUUAAUGAGUAGUUGAUCCAUUUUUAAUGAUUAAUAAAUUAAGUUACCUUAGGGAUAACAGCGUAAUUUUUUUAGAGAGUUCAUAUCGAUAAAAAAGUUUGCGACCUCGAUGUUGGAUUAAGAAAUAAAGUUGGGUGUAGAAGUUCAAAAUUUUAGGUCUGUUCGACCUUUAAUUUCUUACAUGAUCUGAGUUCAAACCGGCGUGAGCCAGGUUGGUUUCUAUCUUUAUUUAAUUAUAAUAUUUUAGUACGAAAGGACCAAAUAUUAAAAAUAUUAAUUUUUUAAGAAAGAAUUUUAUUAAUUUAU